rnacentral:rRNA from 1 species
GACAGAGGGUGCAAACGUUGUUCGGAAUUACUGGGCGUAAAGCGAGCGUAGGCGGUUUGGUAAGUCGGAUGUGAAAGCCCCGGGCUCAACCCGGGAAGUGCACUCGAUACUGCCAGGCUAGAGUAUCGGAGAGGUUGGUGGAAUUCUCGGUGUAGAGGUGAAAUUCGUAGAUAUCGAGAGGAACACCGGUGGCGAAGGCGGCGAUCUGGACGAUGACUGACGCUGAGACGCGAAAGCGUGGGGAGCAAACAGG